GAACCGUCCAAACGUUUAUUCGGAAUCACUGGGCUUAAAGGGUACGUAGGCGGCUUGGAAAGUUGGGUGUGAAAUCCCUCGGCUCAACCGAGGAACUGCACUCAAAACCUGCCAGGCUUGAGGGAGACAGAGGUAAGCGGAACUCAGGGUGGAGCGGUGGAAUGCGUUGAUAUCCUGGGGAACACCAGUUGCGAAGGCGGCUUACUGGGUCUCUUCUGACGCUGAGGUACGAAAGCUAGGGGAGCGAACGGGAUUAGAUACCCCGGGUAGUCCUAGCUGUAAACGUUGAGCACUGGAUCGGAGGAUUUCGGUUUUACCCGGUCGUAGCGAAAGUGUUAAGUGCUCCGCCUGGGGUAGUAUGGUCGCAAGGCUG
rnacentral:rRNA from 1 species